rnacentral:rRNA from 1 species
AUUGAACGCUGGCGGCAGGCCUAACACAUGCAAGUCGAACGAGUGGCGGAAGGGUGAGUAAUGUCUGGGAAACUGCCCGAAGGAGGGGGAUCACUACUGGAAACGGUCGCUAAUACAGCAUACCAUCGGAUGUGCGAAGAUGGGAUUCGCUAGUAGUUGGGGUAACGGCUCACCUAGGCGACGAUCCCUAGCUGGUCUUAGAGGGUGACCAGCCACACUGGAACUGAGACACGGUCCAGACUCCUACGGGAGGCAGCAGUGGGGAAUAUUGCACAAUGGGGGCAAGCCUGAUGCAGCCAUGCCGCUUGAAUGAAGAAGGUCUUCGGGUUGUAAAGUACUUUUAUCGGCGAGGCGUUACUCGCAGAGGAAGCACCUGCUAACUCCGUGCCAGCAGCCGCGGUAAUUC